GCAGGGGUCGCAUAGUCCGGCAAUUGCGGCGGACUUAAGAUCCGCUGGGUUAGUCCCUUCGUGAGUUCGAAUCUCACCCCCUGCA
rnacentral:tRNA from 1 species